CAAAUCCCUUAUCUAAACAUAGCCAAAAGGUCAUGAAGAUGGAGCAGAAAUAAAGGUGAGGGUAGCAUGCGCAUAACUAGGCCACAGAAUACGAGGGAAUCCUUGUCUAUUGGUAACUGGUAUGCCGUUGUUAUACUUGUAAACAUAGACAUGGAUUCAAGUCUUAAAUAAUUAUCUUCAUGAUAGAGGGAUGCCAAAGGGGAUUAGGGUAACAUACAUCUCAGAUGUAGCUUUUGAAAGGGUGGCUGGCAUUCCUAGAGUCCUAGUUCCGACAACUCAAUUCAGCAUUCUAGAACUGCAUUCGGGUGACCAAAAUUCAUUUUCAUCCCUUUGAAAAUAGUACGUUUAGCAAAUAGUUCCCAGAUCUUCAGUGUCAACAAAAAAGCAAAAGAAAGAACGCGUGAUUAAAACGCUUAUAUAUAUAGGUGUAGAUAUAUAGCUGUGUGCCUGUGUAUAGCACAUUGAAUGAGAUCUUUAUUUAGAAUUGUGGGAGUAGGGAAAGAUGAUCCGUAUGUCCAAGCUUUCAAAAAACCAGUUUAAUAUUACAAAUUAGAUGAUUAAGGAAGCAGAAGAGUUAUAUUUAAUUUAAGCAUUGAAAGUCUUCACUACUUAACAACUAUAGAACGUUAAAACUUCAGAAAAAUGGAAUCUGAAAGCAACAAGCGAAAGCCACAGCUGAACAUGUGUGUCUAGUUAUUUAAUAUUAUACCACAUCCUGCCUGGACAGUUCUCACCCAAACGGAAACCACUCAGAAGAUGUUCCUUUUCACUACACCUGGAGUUGGAUGUUUUCUUGUUUUAUAUGAGUAAAAAUAAAAUUUAAAGGGGAGGAGGUGUUCAAGUUAGACAAGUUUGAAGGUUAUAUAUUUAGUUGAUUUCAGUUCUCUACGUGAACACCUUAACUGUAAGUUCUCAAAUAUGUCGUUAUAAAUUUCAUUAAAGAAUUAGUUAGAGUCAUCUCAUUCAGUCACGCCUUUUAGAGUAUAUUUAAUGCAUGCAAAUUAGCCUACGAAAAGUGUUAUUAAGCCCUAAAUGACAAAAUUCAAUUUCUAACGCGACGUAUUAAGCCCAGGCUAAACUUGCCCAGGGCUCUUUGAGCGGCCAGUUUAGCCUCGGCUCUUGCCCAAGGCUCUUGAAGAGCCAACUUAGGAAGAAACCUGGUGCCAAUGAAAACUAGCCACCUAAGCCAACUUAGGAAGAAACCUGUAGCCAAUGAAAACUAGCCACCUAACACAUUUUAGCCCCUAGCCUCUAAUACCAUUAGAACAACAAAGUUUUGAGAGGGCUGGAUUUCAAGAAUAAUGACAUUUUGAGAGUCCAAAUAAAGCCUCUUGCCCCUAGCCCUUGCCUUUGCCAGUAGACUUGCUCUAAAUCUUGGAUUGAUAUCAUCAAUUGUUUUUUUACAUGGGAAGUUUUAUUGACACUCUAAAAAUCUCAUUCUACACUCUUCACAAGUGUAAUUUUCUUUCCAAAUAUAGAAAGUUAGGAGUGUAGAAUGAGAAUUUUGGAGUGCUAAUAACAAUUCCCUUUUACAUAUUCAAACUCUUGCUUUCCAGGAAUCCGAACGAGUGGGAAUGAAAUGAUGAGAAAUUGACAUUUAUGGCAUAUUUGUAAGUUUAUACCUUAUGCACUGGUGAAUUGUUUAUAUUUUUUUGGGGUAUUUCUUUAGUCUGUCUGUGACCCUCUGUUGCUUGAACGUUUGAAACUAUAUAUCUAAAGAAAUGAUGAUGUUGCAUGCUUACACCUGUAAUCUCACAAGGGUAUAUCCCUGGUAUAUUAUCCUUCAAUUAUGCAUAUGAUUAUUCGUUUUAUA